AUAAGAGUGAACCCGUCUCUGUGGCAAAAGAGUGGGAAGACCUUGCAGUAGCGGUGAAAGGCCAAACGAGUCUAGUGAUAGCUGGUUGCUCAACAAACGAAUCUCAGUUCGACUUUAGGUUCACCUCCAUAUACUGAAACCCCAUAUCAACCUAAAGGCUACUCAACGAAGGUACAACUCCAUUGAGAAGGGAUACAACCCAAAUUAGAGAGAAAGAAACAACACCCAUCCCAGUAGGCCUUAAAGCCGCCACCAAUAACAAAAGCGUCACAGCACUAAACAACAAAUACCAAAAAAACAACCAACCUCCUAAUAAAACAUUGAGCCAAACUAUAACUAUAGUCGAACUAAUGCUAAAACUAGUAACAAGAAAACCUUCUCUUGGCACACCUGUAACCCAGAAAUAGAAAAACUGCUGGACUUUAACAGACCAAAAUAGGCAUAACACAAUCUGUACCACCCACUGUUAAACCAACACCGGGGUGCCACCAAGACAGAUUAAAAGUUAUUUAAGGAACUCAGCAAAACUUGUCCCAACUGUUUACCAAAAACAUAGCCUUUAGCUAAUAUAAGUAUUAAAGGUCCCGCCUGCCCAGUG
rnacentral:rRNA from 1 species